GAUGAACGCUGGCGGCGUGCCUAAUACAUGCAAGUCGAGCGAACAGAUAAGGAGCUUGCUCCUUUGACGUUAGCGGCGGACGGGUGAGUAACACGUGGGUAACCUACCUAUAAGACUGGAAUAACUCCGGGAAACCGGGGCUAAUGCCGGAUAACAUUUAGAACCGCAUGGUUCUAAAGUGAAAGAUGGUUUUGCUAUCACUUAUAGAUUGACCCGCGCCGUAUUAGCUAGUUGGUAAGGUAACGGCUUACCAAGGCAACGAUACGUAGCCGACCUGAGAGGGUGAUAGGCCACACUGGAACUGAGACACGGUCCAGACUCCUACGGGAGGCAGCAGUAGGGAAUCUUCCGCAAUGGGAGAAAGACUGACGGAGCAACGCCGCGUGAGUGAUGAAGGUCUUCGGAUCGUAAAACUCUGUUAUUAGGGAAGAACAAAUGUGUAAGUAACUGUGCACGUCUUGACGGUACCUAAUCAGAAAGCCACGGCUAACUACGUG
rnacentral:rRNA from 1 species